rnacentral:rRNA from 1 species
UACGGGGGGGGCAAGCGUUGUUCGGAAUUACUGGGCGUAAAGGGUGCGUAGGCGGUUCGUUAAGUUAGAUGUGAAAACUCUGGGCUCAACCCAGAACCUGCAUCUAAAACUGGCGGGCUAGAGUUCUGGAGGGGGUAGCGGAAUCCCUGGUGUAGCGGUGAAAUGCGUAGAUAUCAGGAGGAACACCGGUGGCGAAGGCGGCUACCUGGACAGAAACUGACGCUGAGGCACGAAAGCUAGGGGAGCAAAC